CCUCUCUUUCUUCAUUUAAUUCUAUGUCACCUCAUUAAAAUUGUUUAGUUGACAUGCAUGAUACUACCUAUGAUACUUCCAUUACGGGCAGCCUAAUAUGACAGAAGGCGCCUUAUGUGGUUAUGUUUUGACCAAGGUCAGUAAGUAAGAUAACUUCAAAUACUUGACUGUAUUUUACCUUCUUUUUUUCUAUGCGCAUAGCUAAUUGAUACUCAUAUGAGGUUUUAGUUCACAAUAUCAUUUCAGUGAGUAGCUCAUUGGUACUCAUCUGAAGUUUUAAUUCACAAUAUCAUUUUAGUGGGUAUACAUUUUCCCCUUGUCUGUCUUCUUAACAAAAUUGUACAUAAUGCAACUCAGCUUGACACAAAGACACCUCCCUCAUUUUUUUAAACGGAACAGCUACCUCAUUUUGAAGCUGGAAAAUAGCGGCAUUGAGUGUGACCCCAAUUCAUCACAGGAAGUUGAUCAUACAGUCAUCAAACCCAACAUUGUAUAUCACUGGGGCCUCAUACCUCAAUCAAAUACUCAACUUUAUCCUAGCUCUAAGAAAGAUUUCAUGAAAUAUAUCAUCAAUGAUGUCUUACGGAAAGAUGAAAUGUACAGACUCAGAGCUGACAAUGUCCAUCGUUGGCGCAUCAGAGCUGCCAAAAAGCAUGUACAAUGACUCUUCCUGGGCUUACUUGCAAAAGUGCAACAACGGCCGGCUCAGCCAGCAUGACAACACUUGUCACGUUAUCAUUGGCUUUGGACUAAAUUGUUCCAUAGGCUGCAAGUUGUGGGAUGGUGAAGUAAGGUUUUUGCAAGUUUUGGACUAGAUCAUUACAUUCCCAACAAGUUGUACGACUUGGAAUGCUGAUACCUCUUAUUAUACGGUUACCAUUGGUUUAUA